rnacentral:lncRNA from 1 species
UCAUUUUUGACACACACGACAGAGUCUAGAAUCUGCUCUCGUCUUCCGUCUCUUCUAUUCCAACCGAUGGAGGAGUUUCAGUUCGCCUUCUUCAAACUUUCAACAAUACUCGUAGCUCUUUUCGUCUUCUUAUCUAUCUAUUAGAUUUCAGGCAUUAUUCGCUCAAUCCUUGCUCGCAUCUUCUUUGUUUUCUCUUUGUCUUCUUUUCUUUCUUUGCUACUUUUAGAUCUAUUUAACUGUUUUCAAUUUCAUGGAUAAAUUUCCUUGGAUUUUGUAUUUUCCAACCAGAUGAUGCGGAAUUACCAUUUUAAGGGCUAUUCUCCGUCCAAUUUCAUUGAUGUUGCCUUCUUCUUGCUGAUUCACCUCUAUCUCUUCUUCUUCAUAAGGUAUUGAAAUUUAUUGUUCUACUAACUUAAAACAAAAAGGAUAUUUAAUUUUACUCCUAAUUCAUGUUGUUCUUCCUUUUCUUUACAUUUUUUGUAUAUGUUAUAUUUCUAUGAAUUGUGAAUCGCGAGUAUGUUUUCAGGCUCUUCUUAACUGCCUCUGCGCACACCCCUCACUCUCCAUAGCCGAGGAAAAGAACAGUAAGAACUCAUGAUAACCUAAUUUUGAUAAAGCACUAAAAUUGGUGUAUGGGUUGAGAUUGAAAUAAAGUGAAUGAAUUAAGUCAAAUGGCUAUUGGGAAAAAUUUAUGCAUAUAAAUUUCUAUUGACAGAUUUUAUUCAUUAUUUCAUGUCUUAGGAAUGCUUAAUUAGGCUUAAGAUGAUUUGGGAACUUUUCUUAAAAGUUGUGUUCGAGCAACAUCUGAUUGUUUAAACUUAAAUUCAUUUAUCUGGCUACAAAUUUAUGGAAUAAGGAAGGUAUGUUAAAGGGCAUGUAAUGGGAUUGCUUUAUAUGAUGACUCAUUGUUGUUGAUGGGAUUUGAAAGUAGAGGAAUAUUUAAAAGUAGAGGAGUAGGAAGUAGAGCACCGAGGAUUGAUAAAGAUUGUAUGAAGUUGCAAGACACUAAUGGUCCAGAAAAAGGACGAGAAAAUAGCACAGAUAUCCAAAACUUUAAGAAGCAGACAAGAGGAAUAGAGAUGUAAGGACAUGUAUAAGAGGAUACCUAAGCCAAGGAAGUAGCUUAAUUUUUUUUAUUUUUUUAUUCCUUGUUUAUUGGCAUCCACUGAUACAAUGUGUGUUCAACUAUAAAUUAUAGUUGUUUGUCUUAUUGGAAAUUCUCAUUCACCCAUCUUUAAGCCUAAUUUGUCUUAUUUUCUACUGAUAUGUCCAUGUCUUAUUAUCAACAUAUGUUAUCUUCACCUAUACUUUCUUAUUAUUCUCUACUUUUAUGCAAUUUUAUUAGAAUAUUCUUUAAGUUUGUAUUUUAUUAAGAUAUUUUGUCCAAAAGUAUAAGUGACGGAUGGAUCUUUCCAUCUUGCAUACUUGACUGAUUGAUUCACUUGGUUACUUCUUGACAAUUGGUUUUUUCUCCUGUUAGUUCAGUACCGAAUGCAUAUGGAUUAUCAGGUUUGUAUAUUUAUCAGUGGAAAAUAUUAUUGCAUUCAUAAAUACACUUUGUUUUAACAUAAAUAUAGCAUGUAUUAAAACAUUCUUCCAUGAUGAUUACUUUCAACUUUUACAAAUUAAAACUAUUACAGGAACCUAGAAAAAGGAUUAUUUUCAAGGUCAUGAAAGAGUACUCAAAGGUCCUCCUCCAUCACUUCAAGUGGCAAAGGCUGUGAACUAUUUAACUUGGUACCCUUCUUUUUAUCCAUCAAGGCCUCUACAUGCUGCUCUUUACUUCCUUUUUGGGUGUAAGUUUUUUUUUCUUCAUAUUUAUGUUUAUCAUUGUGAUUAUUGAUGGUAAGGCCCAGCUCUCUUCGCAUUCAGUUUCUUAAAUCAAUUGGUGUGUUUGCUUUUGUGCUUUUAAUUUAUUUCAUCACUUUCAAGUUGUAGUUACAAGUUCAAAGAUCAAUUGAUUUUUUUUUAAUAUUCCGGAACAUAUGAUGACUAAUAGCUUGUUUGGCCAAGCUGCAAAAAUUAACUUAUUUUGAGAAGUGUUUUUUCUCAAAAGUGCUUUUUUCAAAAGUAUUUUUUGGUGAGAAUCAGUUUGUGUUUGGCUAAUUAAUUUGAAAAGCACUUCUGAGCAGCAAUUAGUAUUUGGCCAAGUUUUUAAAAACUGCUUCUAAGUGUAUUUUUCUUAAAAGUGCUUUUCAAAAAAGUGCUUUUGGAGAGAAGCUACUUUUUUCUGCUUCUCCAAAACUGCUUCUGCUUCUCCUCAAAAGCACUUUUCUUUCUUCAAAAAGCUUGGUCAAACACUUUAACUUUGAAAAAAAAGUACUUCUUUUAAAAAGAAAAGUGCUUUUGGCUUUGGAGAAGCUGGGCCAAACAGGCGAUAAGUCUAGCAUUCAAAAACUUUCCUCUUAGUUAGAAAAGGUAGUAUUGUAAUGCAUGAAAUAACUGGUGAUCGAGGAGGUUUUAUAUUCAUACUUUGAAAGUUCUAGCUUUGAUAUUGCCUAUUAUUUGUGGCUACAAGAGUUGCUUUAAUUUUUAUUUGGCUGAAUAGGUAGGGUGAUUUAUGAUACAAUAACAUGUCGUAGUAUGUACACUUUCGGAAAUAAGUACUUCGUAAAAUUGUACUAUUGUUAGGUAUUGAGUUUUAUUUGUGAAUUGAAGUAUAUAACUCUUUCGCACAGUGUAUUAAUACCAUGAGAUAUUUUUCCGUUCUAUGAGUUUAUCUACUAAGAUUAAGGACAAAUAAAAUAAGAAAUCAAGGAUAGUUUUGCAUAAUUAUUGUAGUGUAUUUGGUAACAGUGGCAUGGUAUAACUUUGUUUGUUUCCUUGGUUAUAAGUCUUUGCAAAUUAAAUAUAAUGUACUACAAAUGUAUUUAUAAAAAAGUGCAAUUUAUGCAAAAAGGGUGACAAGAACAAACCAAAAUUUUGAGGAAAAAAAAAAACAUAUUACCUAGGCUGAGUGCCAUUUCAAACAUAAGGUGCUCUUGCAGAUAGAAUAACACAAAAACGUCAUUAUUGUUACUUAGUUGAUCAACCAUUAGAAGUUUGUUGAUUGACCGUUGUUUGGGAAGUUCUAGAAUAAGUACCAUCUUGAGCUAACUAUCUUGAACACAAUUUUAUGUUUGAUUAUAUCUUCUUCAGUAUUUCGUGAACUCUAAAUUAUUUUCAUUGUUGACUCUGGUAGAAAUUGAUUAUUCAUCAAUGGGAGAUUUAAAAGAACCCCAUGACUGAGGUAUGUAUUAGGUCUUGAGCACUACCAGCUUACUCAAUAUAUUUAGAUAUAAAGAAUGUGUUUUAUUGUAAUUGUCUUGAAGAGUUUGUACUUGAAUUAAACUAUCUACUCAGUUUCCUUUCGAUAUUUGACUUAUGGAACUUCAGUUUGAUACUUUAUGUGAUAAAUACAGUCAAUAAAUCAAUCUAUCUAUGUCUUGAAACAGAGAAGAAACUUUUCAAUUAAGGUUUGUGAAGAAAAUGAGAAAAGCAAAGUGGAUCACUUUUUUAUAUUUCCCUUUUCGUGUAUUAGAAAAUUUUAUUAUUGACAAAGACCACACUAAGAUAAUGCUGAGAUGACAUAAAAGAAAUAUUAAUAUCAGUCCAUAUUUAUUCUUGCAGUGAUGACAAAAAAUAUAUCAAUGUAUUUACUUCAUAUCCUUAUAUGUUCUUUAUAACGAAUGAACUUUUUGUGUCACUUAAUAGUCAUAUGAUAUUAAUGUAUCUUUUUCUUUUAUAUGAGGGAAAGUAAAAUGCAUUGACCAACUUUUCUGGACAUCAUUUGCAUUUCACAUAAGUUGUGUCAGCAUUAGCUUAUCAAAGAAAACAUAAGGCUUAGCAUUUUUUCGAUUUUUUCGUUAAUUGUUAGGUGGUUAAAUCUUAAUGAUAGGAAGAUCCUAUACUGUUUUGAUAAAAUAUUAUAUUUGAUGUAUCUUUAGAUUGUAGUAACAGUGUCUUGCUAUAAAAGGCCAUAAUUUGACUCUUGAGUAUAGUAUUUUUCGAGUAGUUUAUUUGUGGUGAUCGCACUUAUCUCUUUAUGUCGUGAUAUUUUUCAAUUCUUGCUAUCAUUUAAUAUUUUCUAUCUCUAAAUAUUUGACUUCUUAUUCUCUACUUGGAAUAGGACAGGUUGUCUGAAGAACACAUAGUAGCAGAUGUAUGAAUGCAAUACACAAAAUAUUUGCCAUACUUUAUGUGGCUCUUAGUUGGACUAUGUUCUCUUUUGUUUAUAGUACAAACACGGAUAGCAACUGAUAUAUUUAGUUGAUCACGUAGCAUAAGAUAGUGGGUAGAAAACGAUGAAGAAAUAAGGCGUACUUGAGCUUGAGUUUGAUUUUGUAAGUAUAUUUAAAGGAAGUUGAAGAAAAGGAAAUAUUU